rnacentral:rRNA from 1 species
UGAGAGGAUGGUCACCCACACUGAGACUGACAUACUGCCCAGACUCCUACAGGAGGCUGCCGUCCACAAUCAUCCGCAAUGGGUGAAAGCCUGACGGUGCAAUGCCGCGUGGGGGAUGAAGGCCUUCGGGUCAUAGACCCCUGUCAGAGGGGACGAAAAAUAUGACGGUACCCUCAGAGGAAUCCACGGCUAACUACGUGCCAACAGCCUCGGUAAUACAUAGGUGGCGAGCGUUAUUCGCGAUUUACUGGGCGUAAAGGGUCCACAGGGGGUUUGCCGAGUUUGAUGUGAAAGUCCGCAGCUCAACAGCGAAACUGCGCCGGAUACUGGAGAACUUGAGUGUCGCGAAGGGCGAGCGGAAUUCCAGUUGUAGCGGUGGAAUGCGUUGAUAUCUGGAAGAACACCGCCGGCGAAAGCGGCUCGCUGGCGCGCCACUGUGCGUCAUGGACGAUAUCGUGGGGAGCGUACAGGAUUAGAUACCCUGGUAGUGCCCGCUGUAAACGGUGCAGACUCGAUGCGUGGGGCGGUCCCCUCUUGGUGUAAGCCAACGCGUUAAGUCUGCCGCCUGGGGACUGCGGCCGCAAGGCUAAAACUCAAAGGAAUUCACGGGGGCGCCGCACAAGCGGUGGAGCAUGUGGCUUAAUUUGUGGCAACGCGAAGAACCUUGUCCGGGCUUGACAUAUUCCGGACGACCUGUGAAAGCACGUUUUCCCUUCUGGGGCCGGUAUACAGGUGCUGCAUGGCUGUCGUCAGCUCGUACCGUGAGGUGUUCGGUUAAGUCCGGCAACGAGCGCAACCCGUAUCGUCAGUUGCCAUCAGGUAAUGCUGGGCGCUCUCGUGAGACUGCCCGUGUCAAGCGGGAGGAAGGC